CUACAGGCUUAACACAUGCAAGUCGAGGGGCAGCAUGGUCUUAGCUUGCUAAGGCCGAUGGCGACCGGCGCACGGGUGAGUAACACGUAUCCAACCUGCCGUCUACUCUUGGACAGCCUUCUGAAAGGAAGAUUAAUACAAGAUGGCAUCAUGAGUCCGCAUGUUCACAUGAUUAAAGGUAUUCCGGUAGACGAUGGGGAUGCGUUCCAUUAGAUAGUAGGCGGGGUAACGGCCCACCUAGUCUUCGAUGGAUAGGGGUUCUGAGAGGAAGGUCCCCCACAUUGGAACCGAGACACGGUCCAAACUCCUACGGGAGGCAGCAGUGAGGAAUAUUGGUCAAUGGGCGAGAGCCUGAACCAGCCAAGUAGCGUGAAGGAUGACUGCCCUAUGGGUUGUAAACUUCUUUUAUAAAGGAAUAAAGUCGGGUAUGGAUACCCGUUUGCAUGUACUUUAUGAAUAAGGAUCGGCUAACUCCGUGCCAGCAGCCGCGGUAAUACGGAGGAUCCGAGCGUUAUCCGGAUUUAUUGGGUUUAAAGGGAGCGUAGAUGGAUGUUUAAGUCAGUUGUGAAAGUUUGCGGCUCAACCGUAAAAUUGCAGUUGAUACUGGAUAUCUUGAGUGCAGUUGAGGCAGGCGGAAUUCGUGGUGUAGCGGUGAAAUGCUUAGAUAUCACGAAGAACUCCGAUUGCGAAGGCAGCCUGCUAAGCUGCAACUGACAUUGAGGCUCGAAAGUGUGGGUAUCAAACAGGAUUAGAUACCCUGGUAGUCCACACGGUAAACGAUGAAUACUCGCUGUUUGCGAUAUACUGCAAGCGGCCAAGCGAAAGCGUUAAGUAUUCCACCUGGGGAGUACGCCGGCAACGGUGAAACUCAAAGGAAUUGACGGGGGCCCGCACAAGCGGAGGAACAUGUGGUUUAAUUCGAUGAUACGCGAGGAACCUUACCCGGGCUUAAAUUGCAGAUGAAUUACGGUGAAAGCCGUAAGCCGCAAGGCAUCUGUGAAGGUGCUGCAUGGUUGUCGUCAGCUCGUGCCGUGAGGUGUCGGCUUAAGUGUCAUAACGAGCGCAACCCUUGUUGUCAGUUACUAACAGGUUCCGCUGAGGACUCUGACAAGACUGCCAUCGUAAGAUGUGAGGAAGGUGGGGAUGACGUCAAAUCAGCACGGCCCUUACGUCCGGGGCUACACACGUGUUACAAUGGGGGGUACAGAGGGCCGCUACCACGCGAGUGGAUGCCAAUCCCCAAAACCUCUCUCAGUUCGGACUGGAGUCUGCAACCCGACUCCACGAAGCUGGAUUCGCUAGUAAUCGCGCAUCAGCCACGGCGCGGUGAAUACGUUCCCGGGCCUUGUACACACCGCCCGUCAAGCCAUGGGAGCCGGGGGUACCUGAAGUGCGUAACCGCGAGGAGCGCCCUAGGGUAAAACUGGUGACUGGGGCUAAGUCAUAACA
rnacentral:rRNA from 1 species